UACGAAGGGUGCAAACGUUGCUCGGAAUUAUUGGGCGUAAAGCGCACGUAGGCGGCUUAGCAAGUCGGAUGUGAAAUCCCUCGGCUCAACCAAGGAAGUGCAUCCGAAACUGCUGAGCUUGAGUACUUAAGAGGAUCGCGGAAUUCCCGGUGUAGAGGUGAAAUUCGUAGAUAUCGGGAGGAACACCAGUGGCGAAGGCGGCGAUCUGGGAAGAUACUGACGCUGAGGUGCGAAAAGCGUGGG
rnacentral:rRNA from 1 species